GUCGGAGCAGACCACAGGUGUCGUGAGUCACGCCCCUUCCUAGUUUCCACCUUGAGGAGGUCCCAAGAGCACCCAAAUGACCAGACACACAGAGAGCGCAGCUGUUGGAUACUCUUCCUGCCAUCAGCAAUCUAUCGCUGGAAAUCCUCCUUCGGCGACACUUCCGGAUUCCACCCAACAUGAGGGAUAUUGUGUACUGCACAGGCGUCUCUCUGAUGGAUGGAGGGAGAUGUGUGGGAGUUUAUCUGGAUGAAGUUUCACUCCUCCACUGUUGCUGCCGUCUCUGAAAAGAAGAUUCUUCUGGAGGCCUUGACCUGCAGUGACAUCUUCCUGCUCAACAGCUCUGUGUUGCUGGAGACGCUGCAGUUCACGUGCAGCCCAUGCACUGCCACUACCCCACUAGCAGGGUGCUGGAAGCCUGCUCUGGUAAGUUUUAAACUUUCAAAGUAUCUUUGAAAAUGUUAAUCUUGCUUAUAUAUAGAGUAGUAUUUCAUCAUUCAUAUGUCCAAAGAGUCUUUCGUUUAGUCAGAUUUAUAAAAGAAAAAACA